rnacentral:tRNA from 1 species
GUAAGUAUAGUUUAAUUAAAAAUUCUAGUCUGUGACUCUAGAGACGAGGGUUAAUCACCCUCUACUCACC